CAAAACUCAUGUGAGGACUUCGGCAAACUCACCAGGUUUGUCAUCCUACUUGGCUUUGGAAUCCACCACUGCGUAAAA